UACGGAGGGUGCAAACGUUGCUCGGAAUCAUUGGGCGUAAAGCGCGCGUAGGCGGCCUCGUAAGUCCGUUGUGAAAGUCAAAGGCUCAACCUUUGAAAGCCGAUGGAUACUGUGAGGCUAGAGUCCGGAAGAGGCGAGUGGAAUUCCUGGUGUAGCGGUGGAAUGCGCAGAUAUCAGGAGGAACACCAACGGCGAAAGCACUCUGCUGGGCCGACACUGACACUGAGAGACGAAAGCUAGGGGAGCGAAUGGG
rnacentral:rRNA from 1 species